UUCCAUUCAGGCCUAUUGGCUAUGAUCAAUGUGUAGUAUCUGUUCUUCUUAGUUUGACCACUAAGACUUGUCCUCUGGACAAAAUAGUUGUCAUAUUAUUUUUUGAAUUGGCCUCUUGUAAGUUUAAAAUCUGCUUGCAGAUCUUACAUACUGGGCACAGGUGCCACUAGCCUUGCACUCAUUUGCUUGUAGGCGCCGAGUGUUC
rfam:Smittium culicis strain GSMNP scaffold-9094, whole genome shotgun sequence.